UGAUGCUAGCAGGUGGUUAGUAAAAGAAUAGUAAGUAAGUUUUGAGUACAUACAAUGAAUUAGCUCAACAUGGCUAGUAGAGAUAAGAUUUGAUUGACUUAGCCAGAUUAACUCUAGUGAGUGGAUGACAAUUUGAAAUACCAAAUGCAUGUUAUGACCCAAAGAGUUUAAGUUAAACCUGAAGUACAGUGACAGCGGGGAAAAAAUCAGCUAGGUAGUAAGAGAGCAAACUACAGAAGAAUAUCCUUUAAGAGUUAUCGAAAAGAGGUUUCCCCAAAAUUGACAGAGUGAGCAGAGUUAAAUCAUUAAGAUUGUGUAUGAUAGUUGUGAAUACAUUAGCCUUCCAUUUGUAUAAGUAAUUUAGUUUUUCCUAGUAAGAAAAAGUGAUCAAAAGUAAGUCGGAAGAUGAGUUGUCAUUGACGUAAAGUGCAGAGAAUUGCAGAAGAUAAGGAAAGUUAUUUGGAUCCCAACAUAAGAGAAAGAUUCUCAAGUACAAGACCUUAACCUUUGGUCUAAGGGGGAGAUGUGAAAACCGUCAGUAAGUCCAAAUGGAGAUUUGAAACUCGCAUAGUUAGCAUAGGAUAUAAAAACUAUAAAAUCAUACCCAGGUAUGUAUUAUGAGGGUAGUGCCAUUGCACGAGACUCUAAUCUUCAUAGUAUAGACUUAGCUCAACACAAUUCUAUAAGUGUUUUCAGGAAGUAUCUUAAAAAGAUAAUCAAGUAUGGGAAGUACAACUCAUGAUUGAGGCAAACAAUAUAACUAUAUUGAAAUAAGUUCACCACUUAUCCAAGCUAGGAGUUCGACUUUCGGACUCCGAAGAUGAUGGAAUUAUUUUCCAGAAUAGGACUUUAACCGGAAUGAAGUGUGCCAACUUGGUCAACUUGUCGACAAUGACCCAAACUGCAUCAAGCUUCCGCAAAGUCCGCGACAACUCAACUACAAAGUCCAUAGUAAUGCGCUCCCAUUUCCACUCAGGUAUAGUCAUCUGCUGAAGUAGGCCAUCUGGCCUCUGGUGCUCAACCUAACCUGCUGGCAAUUUAAGCACCUAGCCACAUACUCAACUAUGUCUUUCUUCAUCCGCCGCCACCAAUAAUGCUGCCUCAGGUCACGAUACAUCUUCGUAGCACCUGGAUGAAUAGAAUACCGAGAACUGUGUGCUUCCUCUAGAAUCCUCUCCCUCAAGCCAUCGACAUUAGGAACACAUAGACGACCCUAGAGUCGCAGAACAACAUCCUCGCCAAUAGAAACCUCCUUGGCACUACCCGUAGUACCGUCUCUCUGAGAACUGCCAAGUGUGGAUCAUCAAACUACCGAGCCUUGAUCUUCCCCAAUAGUUAAGACUGGGCAACAACACAUGCAAGAACUCGGCUGGGCUCUGAAAUGUCCAACCUCACAAGUCUGUUAGCCAAGGACUGAAUGUCCAAAGCUAGUGGCCUCUCCUCUGCUGAAAUGAAUGCCAAGCUACCCAUACUCUCUGCAUUCCUACUUAAGGCAUCUGCAAAUACAUUUGCCCUGCCCGGAUGAUAAAGAAUGGUGAUGUCAUAAUCCUUCAGUAACUCAAGCAUCUACGCUACCUCAAAUUGAGAUCUCUUUGCUUGAACAAAUGCUGUAAGCUGCGAUGAUCAGUGUAAACCUCACAUGACACCCCAUAAAGGUAAUGCCUCUAGAUCUUAAGAGCAUGAAUAAUUGCGGCUAACUCUAAAUCAUGCACAGGAUAAUUCUUCUCAUGAAUCUUUAGCUGACGUGAAGAAUAUGCAAUAACUCGCCCCUCCUACAUCAAUACAUAACCCAAGCCAACACGUGAAGCGUCGCAAUACACAGUACACAUCCCCGAACUGGAAGGCAACACUAGAACUGGUGUUGUAGUUAAAGUUGUCUUGAGCUUCUGAAAGCUAGCCUCACAAUCAUAGGACCAACGGAACGGAGCACCUUUAAGGGUUAAUAUAGUCAAAAGUGCUACAAUGGAUGAAAAACCAUGUACGAAACGGCGAUAAUAACCUACUAACCCUAGGAAACUCCUGAUCUCGGUCACCGAAGUGGGACAAGGCCAACUCUGAACUGUCUCAAUCUUCUUGGGAUCUACCUUAAUACCCUCUUCUGAUACAACAUGCCCAAAGAAUGCCACAUGUCACACCCCUUUUCUACUCCUAAAAAGAAUGUGUGUUUGUUAUGUAUUGUUGUGGGUUAAAGAGUUUUUUCAAUUAAAGUGAUAAUUUUAUAAUAGGGAUUAUUUAUUGUUAAGAAUCGCCACUUGGAAUUGAUUUUUGGGUGUUCCAAGUCACUUUUUAUUUGGAUCUCUAUUCAAAGGAAGAUUUGACUCUUUUAUUAUUGGUCUGCGAAAACAAAGUCCGGGUAAGGAAUUCUAUUGACCGGAGAGAAGGUGUAAGGCAUUCCCCGAGUCCCGUGGUUCUAGCAUGGUCGCUUUAAUUGACUAAAAUUGGCUUGAAUUAAUUGUUGGAUAAACUAUGCUUUAUUUGACUUUUCAUGUCUGCCUAUAUUCGCUUUUAUUUCUUGAUUAUUAGAAUUAUUAAAAAAAUGAUUUUGGAUAAAUUACAUUGUAAUAACCACGCUACGCAAGCGAAUGCGUGAUCGAACAACAAAAUUAAUUAACUUAUCAUAAUUGCGUCUCGCAAGCGAAUCCGAAAUCAUGACAAUCAAUUAUUUGUAGUACUUUUAAGAAAUUACUACAUUUGAGAAAAUUAAUUCUUGAAAAUUAUUAAAAGUUAACUAUCGCGCUACACAAGCGAAUUCGUGAUUUUAGCAAAAGAUUAAUUAAAUUAAAAAUUAACGAAAAACUAAUGUGUUUGAGAUUAUUGAAUUAAUUUAUUGAAUGUUGAACAUCACGCUACACAAGCGAUUCCGUGAAUAAAAAGAUUAAAGCGUGCCUACUAAUUGCCUAGCGCUUAAAUUAAUUAAAUUAUUAAGUUAAUUAGAAUAAAAAUGACUGAUUUCUUUUUUGGAUUAUAUAUUAUAUAUGAAAAAAUAUGGAAAAUUAGUGAUGGGCCAGCUCACUUAUAUUGAAAAUGUUGGCCAUUUUUGGUUGUCAUGAGUAUUAAGCCCAAUUUAUGUAGCCACUUGGGCUGCUGGCCCCUUUUGAAAUUAUGUGGUCAUUGGGCCAAUUGUUGGUUAUUGUAGAGAAUGGACUAACUUGUGUCAAAUUCUUUUCUAUCUCUCACGGCCCAAUCUUUCUUUGAUGGAACCAACAGAAUAUAUCUCCAUACUUAAACUUAACAUUUAUCAUGCUAAUUAAAUAAAAUGAGCUAAACAUACAACUAAUGAUAUUAACUUAAAGUGAAGAAGUCAACCUAGGCAUAAAAUUAUUCAAGCUUCAAAAUCAGAACCUAGAAGACCAAAACUCCUACAUCAAUUAUUUAGCUAAUCAAGCAAGACAACGAGUCAAACUACUCAUAAUUUUAGAGUUGAAAGGCUAAAACAGAGAAAUGUAUUUAAUAAGGACAUGGCUUGAAUCUUACCGAGCCAUUAAACUAAUUAAAAUGGUAAACUAAUUUUCAUUAAUCCAUUUGGAUGAAGGUGUAAACGAGAAAACUAAAUAUAGUAUUCCAUUUGAGCCUACCACAAGAAUAAAUCUGGAAAAAAUAUCAAGAUAGUAUAAAAUGGACCUUAAACAAAAUCUAUUUUUUUAACGCAUAAGGAACUGGAACCUUCAACAUCCAUUUAUAUUCUUGACACUUAAACGCAAGACUAACGAGAGCGAAAGCUUUUAAGAUAUAAGGAAGUAAGGAAAACUCAAAUAACUUUCACUCAAAUCAUCUCAUCUUCAUUCAUUAUCGUGUCAAGAAUUACAUCAUUGGUUGAGGGAGUUAUCUGGAUAGUAGAAAAAUGAACAAAUACAGCGAAGUCAGUUUUUCCUAUAGUCAAGAAGUGGAUAGCAGAACAGCACCAGGCAGCAAAGAACAGCAGUAACAGAACUCAAGAAUACCCCAGAGAACCCUAGCAAGAAAGCACUUGAACUAGCAACUAGUAACCCCAAAAAUUAAUUAAGAGAUCUUUUUUAUUUUUCCAAAGGUUUAGCACACAAACAAUACUCACAAAGGCUCUAAAAUUUUAGCUUGCCAUAUAUGCACAACUGCUGAUUUUUUAAGAUAUGUGCCCCCUUUUUGAGUGUGUAAAAAAAUUUGAUCCCUGGUGUGAUAGAGUGUUGAGUCUUUUAUAGGAGAAGAAGCAAGGCCUUCAUGAUUGAAAAUCUGUCCAAAGGAUAGAUUAUUCACCAAAAAUCUGAUCAAUACUAUUCAAAGGAUAGUUUUUGGUCAAAAAAUUUGUCCAAAGACAGUCCCUUUUACCAACUAUGAACAAAAUUUUGGAGUAUUGUACUCCAACAACUUUUGAACAGUAAAAGACAGCCAAACAAGUACCCUAUACUCAAGUAUUCAGUUUUUAUCAAGACUGAAAUCCAAGCUAACACACUCAUACCUUCAAACUAACCAAAUUAUGGAUUGAUACAACAGAAACAAAACUUAAAAAAAUCGAACUAAGUAUUCAACAAACUAGAUUGAAACUAAUUUGAUUUGUACAAACUAACAUGAAGCGAUUGAGAUAACAAACUAAUGUGCGAAACAGAAACUAAACGAGCAUGGAUAAACUAUCACACAUGAUUAAUAACAACUUAAUAAACGAUUAACAAAAUAAACGAUUCAACUAAUCUUUUGAUUUUUCAUGAAACUAGCAUAAAACACAACUACCGGCUGGUUAGGUUGGAAAACUAAAAAUUCAAACUUAACAAAUUCACACAAAAUAGUCGACCAGCUAGAUCAAAGAGCCAAAAAUCAGAACUAACAGACAGUAACGAACUACUCGACCGGCUAGGUUGAAGAACUGAAAUUCACAUUUAUAAAGUAACAUGUAAUUGAAAACCAAUACUACCCUAGCUCAAUUUCACACAAAUAAAAAUAACAAGAAUAGAAAUUAGACCUUAACACUAAUACUAAUUACAAAAGAAAAAAAGAAAAAAUCAGAAAAGCUGAAAAGGAAGUAAGGUUUAUACCAAUCGAGGGCAUAUGAAACUGUCCAUAAAUCUCUGGGACGACACAUGCAGUGACAAAUGAUGACGAGCGACCUUCGAAUGAACUUUUUAAGCGGCAGACGUUAGGACCACCGAAUCAGGGGAGUCGACUAGUGAUUUCAACACCUUGUCGCCUAGAAAGGGUCAUUCCCAGGUCAUGUAUAGGAAAGAAAUAGCGGCUCGGGCACUUGGUGGUAGUGAGACGGCAGUGGGGGGCUGCUGGCCAGAUUUUGGAGAGGUUGAAGGUUUUGAGGCAUGGAAUGGAGAAUAGGAGAGCGCGAGGAGGCCGGUGGUGUGAAAUUUUCGGAGUUUGGGGUGGUGAGCGGCGGCUAGGGUUUUGGUUAGGCUUAGAUUUACGGAGAUUGAGAGGGGUUAUGGGGAUUUGCGGUUCAGAUUCAUGAAGAGGAGGAGGAGAGGAAGAGAUUAGCAUUGGUUGGAGGGUGUUUGGCCACCGGAGGACAGCGGCGGCAGAGGAAGAAAAAGAGAGGAGAGAGGGUCUAGGGCUUGGGCAUGUAUGAAAAUGAGGCCAAAAAAUCAAAUUUCUAAAAUUAUAUACGUCAAAUGACAUCAAUUCUGGACCAUUGGAUCAAAGAAAAUAGGUGGCCAAGAUUUGAUCUUGAUCACUUAACCAAAAGGACGUAGUUUCAAUCUAAAACUACGUCGUUUAAACCAUCUCCUGGGAGCCCCAAUUGGACCGGAUUAGUAGACUCUUUGGGCUCCUUAUUUUGGGCCAAUUUUGGUUCAAUUUUAAUUAAAAUAUACUAGUCCAAUCCUUUAACCCCUUAAUUAUACUAGGAUAUUAUUUAAUCCUAAAGAAAAUGUACAAGUAGAAAGAAUUUUUUUUGGUAUAUAUAAUUUAAAGAUGAAAAACUAAAAUAUGAAAAUAAAAGGUAAAAAAUUAUUUUUGGUAUUUUUAAUAAAGGAAUGCAAAUAAAAAUUCACAACCAACUAAAAUCAUCCAAAUACUAGUAUUUGUAGGAGAAUUAAAAUCGAGCAAACAUUAGGUACUCACAGCUGCCCCUCUUUGCUCGGGAACAUGAAGAGUUUUUCGUGCAAAGAAAAGUGAAUGUCAUGACUAAUUUUUGCUCACACAUCACUACAAUGAAAGCAUUUUUUUAAAAAAGGUGACCGAGCCUUGCUUUCGAGAUGCCUACAUAUCCUUGGCUAUAAAGGAAUCAGGUCAGUGUAGUUCUAGAAAUAUUUGGUAGAUGGGACUACCAGACACUGGAGUUAAGACUGUUGUUGCUGCUGCUAUUGCUGUUACUGUUACUCGCUUCCUACAUCAAAAGAAAAAGGGAAGAGCACUACAUAUGUCUGCAAACUAAGGGUACAAAAUUCCUAUCUAUGUGUCUUCUGGAGUCAAAUCUUGGUUCUUGACCUGCUCGCUUGUGUUGACCUUAGAUUGGAUCUUGAUUCCUUUUUGAAGAACAAAUUAUGGCUCAUUCUCGAUUACUUGAUUUCCUGAUCAGAAUUUGAGAAGAUGAAUCUUGAGACACCGAGUUGCUGACACCUCAUCGAGACUAACUCCAGCUGUCUUAUGAUCAACAAUCUUCUAUCUUCUAAGGAGAACUGAAAUUGCAAGCUUUAAUCAUCACAACCUGUGCUAUACGGCUGGGCCUGCAAAAUCAUCAAAGACGAACAAAAUGAACAAAAAAUUUCUACCCCAGUUUGGACUAGAAAUUUUUUGUGAGUUAUUGGGUAAAGUUGCAAAUAAGCAUAUUUUAUUUGAAAGAUGAAAAAAAAAUGAUACUGAAAACUUCAAAUCGAAUAUGCUUCUCUUAGGAGUAAAAACUGAUAAAACUUAUACUAAGAGGUGUAUCUCCCAUGGGUGGCAUUGGAAUGACUGCGAGAUUAAAGGACUCGAACUAGGAAUUGCGUCUCCUAGAAUUAAUGAUUCAUAUUAGUAAGUGCAUCUCCUAUUAGAAUGAAUAGAGUUAACUCAAGCUAGGAAAUGUGUCUCCUACGAAUGAGGUUGAAAGGUUUGAACUAGGAAGUGCGUCUCCUAGGAUUUGAUUGUUUAGAUUAGGAAGUGUGUCUCCUAUUGGAAUGAGGUUGCAAGACUUGUACUAGGAAGUGCAUCUCCUAAGAUUUGAUGGUUUAGAUUAGGAAGUGAGUCUCCUAUUGGAAUGACUCAAAUUAGGAAGUAUGUCUCCUAUAAGUGAGCUUAAAGGACUUGGACUAGGAAGUGCAUCUCCUAGGAUUAAUGGUUCAGAGUAGGAAGUGCGUCUCCUAUUGGAAUGACUCAAACUAGGAAGUGCGUCUCCUACGAGUGAGGUUGAAAGUCUUGGACUAGGAAGUGCAUCUCCUAGGAUUGAUUGUUCAAAGUAAGAAGUGCAUCUCCUAUUGGAAUGACUCAAACUAGGAAGUGUGUCUCCUAUGAGUGAGGUUGAAAGGCUUAGACUAGUAAGUGUGUCUCCUAGGAUUGAUGGCUCGAAUUAGGAAGUGUGUCUCCUGCGAAUGAGGUUGCAAGACUUAUACUAGGAAGUGCAUCUCCUAGGAUUUGAUGGUUUAGAUUAGGAAGUGUGUCUCCUAUUGGAAUGACUCAAACUAGGAAGUGUCUUCUAGGAUUGAUGGUUGAAAGGCUUAGACUAGGAAGUGCGUCUCCUAGGAUUGAUGGCUCGGAUUAGGAAGUGUGUUUCCUGUGAAUGAGGUUGCAAGACUUGUACUAGGAAGUGCAUCUCCUAGGAUUUGAUGGUUUAGAUUAGGAAGUACGUCUCCUAUUGGAAUGACUCAAACUAGAAAGUGCGUCUCCUAGGAUUGAUGGUACAAAGUAGGAAGUGCGUCUCAUAUUGGAAUGACUCAAACUAGGAAGUGUGUCUCCUACGAGUGAGGUUGAAAGUCUUGGACUAAGAAGUGCGUCAUCUCCUAGGAUUAAUGGUUUAGAGCAGGAAAUGCGUCUCUUAUUGGAAUGACGCAAACUAGGAAGUGCAUCUCCUAGGAUUGAUGGUAUAGAGUUGGAAGUGCAUCUCAUAUUGGAAUGACUCAAACUAGGAAGUGCAUCUCCUACGAGUGAGGUUGGAAGUCUUGAACUAGGGAGUGUAUCUCCUAGGAUUGAUGGUUCAGAUUACGAAGUGCGUCUCCCAAUAGAAUGACUUAAACUAGGACGUGCGUCUCCUACGAGUGAGGUUGAAGGGCUUGGACUAGGAAGUGCAUCUCCUAGGAUUGAUGGUUCAGAUUGGGAAGUAUGUCUCCCAUUGGAGUAACUCAAACUAGGAAGUGUGUCUCCAAUGAUUGAGGUGGAAAGGCUUGGACUAGGAAGUGUGUCUCCUAGGAUUGAUAGUUUUGAUUAGGAAGUGCGUCUCCUAUUGAAAUAACUCAAACUAGGAAGUGCGUCUCCUACGAGUGAGGUUAAAAGACUUGGACAGAAUGUAACCAGGGAUUGGCGCCCGUAUCACUGAGAAAGAAUAUAACCAGGGGUUGGCGCCCUGUAUCACUAAGAAAUAAUGUAACCAGGGGUUGGUACCCUGUAUCACUAAGAGGGAAUAUAAUCAAGGGUUGGCGCCCUGUAUCAGUAAGAAGGAAUGUAACCAGGGGAUGACGACUUGUAUCACUUAGAGAGAAAGUAACCAGGGCAUAUGAUACCUUGUAUGAAAAUGGAAUCUCACUAAAGAUUGUUGUACCUUAUGGUUUCAGCUAUGGAUUGGUGUAUCCUAUACUAAACAUGCAACUAGGGAGUGGUGUGCUCUAUGUCAAAAUGGAACCUCAACUAAGGACUGAUGUACCUUAUGCUGGAAAAUGCAGUGGUUGAUUAUGUGGUUAUAGGAAUAUCUAGAAAGAAAAAGCACAAACUUUGAAGAAUUUACCUUUGGUGACAUUCGUCCCUUGAGAACUUCAUUUCUACACUACUUUGUUUCCUGCUUCAAACAAAGAAAGAUUUUUGAGUUUUUAAAGUGGUAGUCGAUUUGUGUCGUUGAGGCCCUGAGUAGUUUGAAUUCGCGGCGACCUUGUGAAGAAGAACUGAUUCUUUCAGCGCCGUACUGAGUUGCUCGGAUAAUCUGUAUUGCUUUCUGGAUCAUGGCUUUCUAUCGUUGCCCACGACUGUUUCGUACCCGGAUGUCACACACCCUUUGGCAAUUGUUUUUGUCAAUUUUGAUUAUCUUGCACCCGGUAUCAGUUUAUGUCUGGGAUGCUAUCAAUUUUUCCCGUGAAGCAAGUCUUGCUUAACGACCUUUUCGAUUUCUUCAAAACACUUUGUUCGGCUUAUCAGAGGAAAUCACAGUUGGAUUUGUGCCUUUGUCAAUGUCGUGUAUGCCCCACAUCAUUUGUGUUGCACUUCUGGAAAAUGGUGACCAAUUUUGUGGCCCUUUCUUUGUUGGAUUUCUAAGCAAAUAGACCAACAAAGUUUUCUCUUUGGAACUUCUGUUUGCUUGAACCCUCAGAUCUUGCUUAACUUCAACAACUUAUUGCGCAUGUUGCUCCCUGGGUAUGUCCUCUUUGAUGUGCUAGGAUAGACAGUUAGAAAGCCAGUAAUAGAUUUUGAAAUCAUUUCUUGUUUGUUUUAACAAAGAUUGACUCAAAAUAAUAGUGCAAAUGGACACAAUGAUGCAAUGUAAACAUGAGAAGGAAUAGUAUUUAACUGAAAACGCCGCUUUAGGGGAAAAAAAAGAAUGGAACGUUUUGAAUGUGGUAGCCAACAUUAAUGAUCAUGACAUGCAUUUUGGACUGAGCAGCCAAAUAUAUCCAGCUAAUCCAUCCUUUCUUCUUGUUGUCCCUUUUCAUCUUUGAAGUUAGCCUCUUUGUGCCAAACAAUUGCAUUAAAUCACAGCUCACCUUCGACCAGCAGUGCCCUGAAAGGUUUUCACCAGCCACUCUCUCUCAUUUAUUUAUCUCUACUUACCAUCGCCUUACAGUGCCCAUGAUGGUUUUCACCAAUAAGACUCUCUCAUUUUCAUUCAUUAUCGCUUUUUUUCCUUUUGUGCGAGCAACUUGACACUGUUCUAUGUCGUGUGAAAAUUGUUGCUUAUUGCGUUUUUCCCUUGGCAUUCUUAAAGUCUAUUUGGGAGGUCUUUAUUCAGAAGACUUUUAGAUAGGGUUAGAAAGAAAGGGUCUCAUUAAGGCUCAAAAUAGACUCAAGAAGAUAGGGUUAUAUAUUUACAACUCUUGGAAUCGACUCUUCAUAAAAAUAUAAAAAAAAAAUGCCCCAGUUUUGGAUACUAGGGAAUUUUUAUUUUUUUUUAAUUUGGUUAGACUGAACUAUAGUGUAGAGUUGCCUACGUAUCCUUUAAAGGAAUCAAGUCAAACAUAGUUCAAACUAACACGAAAGAUUUCGUUGUUGUUUUUCUUUUCUUUUCUUUUUUUCAUCAUUCUUUUCUCUUUUCCUUUUUUUAUAUAUAUAAUCAAAAUAUCCUAGCUCCUAUUUUCUAGUGGCAUGGAUCUUCGAUUCUUUGUUUCUUUUAUUUGUAUACUUGAUUCCAAAAGAAGGGGGGAGGUCGAAUAAAAAUAAUACUCGCUUAAAAGGGGUACGAAGGGUAUAAAGUGUUUGGGUAGCAGAAAAAAUAGCCUCCCAACUCAAGAAUGCCAAGCAUACUAUCUCUUCUCAAGGUCGGUAUUGAUGGACAUGACUGUCUUCUUGGUUUUGCCUUGAUGUGAAAUGAUGCACUUCAGUACCAACUAAUCCAUUUUAAAUUCCUUGUAAUGCACCUUCUUUGGAGAUUCGGGUCAUCUUCCUUGAUAUGAUUAGAUUAUGGCAGGACGUGGCCAAAACCCUUUCACUGAUUAGUCCAACCAAACUUCAAAACUUUAAUUAUCCUUAAGCCAAUAUUCAUGAUAGGUUUGGGAUAAACAACUUUAACCUCUACGAAUAUGACUGUUUCGGUUCCAUGUGAUCUUGACACAGGAUUAUCAUCAAAGGUUUUCAACCUCUUACUUGUCCUCCACGUGUUUUUCCUCAAUUCAAUUCAAGAUUGGACAAGCUUUCUAAAAUCUAGCUGAAAACUCCGCAUGCAUGUCGUGUCACUAAAAUUAGCGUGAAAAGAAAUAUAUAUAUGCAAGAAGAACUAAACACAAUGGAUUAAAAUGACACAAAGAAGAGAGAAAAAAAGUUGCAUCUCAUUGAUUAAAGGAUAGAGAGGUUUGAUGACAGGACAAACAAACAACAUCUGGAUCACAACCUCAAAACAAUCUGGAUGAUAGAAAUUAUGACAAAAUAAGUUACCAAGACUCCUUCCCGGCAAGGAAGGGAGUGACUUUCCAAUUAUCAAGCUCAACAUCUUAGCUACAAAUCUGCACAUCAGCAUCAAACAAGAUCUUCAACAAUUUUGAUCGUCUUGCAUUCAGUGGACAGGUUCUUGACAUUUUUCACAAACCAUCCCCAUAUUCUUUAUCAUUGUAAAUCACCCGAAUAAUGCGUGCUCGGUCAUGACGUUUAGGGUGCCAUUAUCUUGGACCACGAUCAUUCCUUCUUGAAUCAUCAUUUCUAUUUCCUUUUUCAAAGGCGGACAAUCCUCAAUGUUGUGUCCCUGGACAUUAGAAUGGUACAUGCACCAUACAGCAGGGUCAAAGACUUUUGCAUAUGGAUCAGGAACAUACCCUUGAAGCGGCUCAAUCAUGCCACAACGUUUUAGCCUUUCAAACAAACUUGUGCAGGAUUCUACGAUUGGCGUGAAAUUGUCCCUCUACUUAUGUUCCUUUUCGUACUCUUGUUUUGGACGAGGGUUGUAGGGUGAUUGAGAGUUCUGUUAUUGCGGACGAAGGUAUGUCAAAGUUGGGACCCGCAUCUGCUGGUGAUUGGAUGGUUUGGCAUAAGACUGAGCAUUGAAUGUUGCAUAUUAUGGAGCAACUGAGUAUCAUGGAUCCGGGGGCUGAGAUGCUCCCCUUUGGCCUCUUUUUGCCCGUGACGCUAUCAUGGCCUCUUUAUCUUUCUUCUUUUGGUUAACAAGGUUGCCCGGCCUAUUAUGGAUUUCUUGAGUGGCUGCUUUGAGAGCCGCUUGACUUAUAAUUCGGCUAGAAUUGAGGCCAUUCUCAACCAUUUCUCCUAUCUUGAUUACAUCAGCAAAAGGUCUGCCCAUUGUAGACAUCAUAUUUUGAAAAUAAUCAGGAUCCUGAGCCUGAAGGAAGAUAGUGAUUAACUCAUGAUCAUCCAUGGGUGGCUUAAGUAGACAUCCUCUAGAUGCUUGCUCUCUCCACCUAACGGCAUACUCCCUGAAGCUUUCACUUGAAUUUUUCUUCAUAUUGGACAGGGAAUUGCGAUCUGGCACAAUAUAAAUGUUGUAUUGAAAUUGUUUGACGAAGGCUUGGGCCAUGUCAUCCCAAACAUGCCAGUGAGAGAUAUCUUGGUCAAUGAACAAUUAAGAGGCUACCCCUACCAGACUCUCCCCAAAAUAAGCCAUCAACAACUCUUCAUUUCUUCCUGCAGCCCUCAGCUGGUUGCGUACCUUUCAAGUGGGCGAUAGGGUCACCGUGUCCAUCAUAUUUCUCAAAUUUUGGGGUCUUGAACCUUGGUGGAAAAUGGAUGUGAGGAAACGUGCAUAGAUCACUGAAUGAAACACUUUUGUGACCACCUAAUCCUAUAUGUUCUUUAUGUUCUGCUCAAGACUUUUCACUUUUCUGGCCAACUCAUCUGGCUCACUCAUCUUGGUAGCUUUUUCUAUUUCUACAGGUGACUCAUGCUGAGAAGUUUGAUUGUAUGGAGCCAAGACCCUGAAAGUCAUGUUUCGAGAGUAGUAUUGUCCAUCAUAAGCAUGAGAUGGUGGCUCAUUAUUUGGCCUCUUCACAUGAGGUUGUGGCAGAAUUGUAUACACAGGCGCACCAGACAUGACGAGAGGUGUGUUCCUAAAUGGUGCGGCAUGAGACUGCACAUUAAGGGUACCAGGGCCGACAUGGAAGCUGUAGUUUGGCACAUACCCUGGUGGUAGAAUGUGAUUGCUCGUUGCAAUGAGCGGUGGUUGAGUAGCUUGUGGUAUGGUGGAAGUUCCCUCAGAUGUACCCUGAGGCAGAGGCUGACUAGAGAUCCAAGCCUGAUACACAUCAGUCAGUUGGUGUUUCAAUCUUCUUACUUCCUCCAACUCUUGCUCAACCGAUUGACCCUGGGGGUCGUCACUGACCAACUCGAUUUCAUCAUUGUUAGCCAUCGCUACCUUACCCUUAGAUUUGGUAAGGUAAUGAUCUGCUUCCAGUUUUACCAUAAACCGACCAUCUUAAGCUUACUAUAUAAGAGGUAACAAACAUGUUAAGGCAAAGCAUUUUACAAAUACGAAUCACAUGUAAAUAUGAUAUGCUCCUAACAUUAUCACCGUUUCUAACAUGCUUUUGGAAGGCUUCGUGUUUUAUUCCGGCAUAUAAGGUCGCUGCUUAUUGACGCUCUUAUUUAUUCCUCUCUUUUUGCCUUUUUUUACACCUCGCCUUAUUUUAGAGCUAUUGAAAAAUAUUUCGAUCGAAACUUUUAGGGGUUGCCUACGUAUCAUGUCGUGGCAUGAAUCAGAUCAUUACAUAGUUCAAAUACAUAACCUUUUUUUUUAAAAUUAACAAAACAAAGUUUUCCUCUUUUUUAUGUACAAAAAACAACACCUUUUUUGGUUCAUUUUCAAAUUUUUCUAAAACAAAAUCUUUUUCAUUGAUUUUCGAUUUUUUUAUACAAGACAAAGGAAAAUUACAUAAAGAUACAACCCAAAAGACGAAUAUUUAAACAAGAUCGGACUCAACUCAAACAAGAUGAAUAUUUAAGCAAGACUCAAAAAACUAAAAGACUCUUACAAACUCGAUGAUUACAAAUGAACAAUCAAAGUGGACUGCCAACUAAAAAAAGACUCUAAUCUCCGAAGGAGAAUCCACCGGCAACAUUGUAGUUAAGGUGCUUAUUCCUGCGGGUGACCUCCCAUAUCAUUGUAUAUGCGCCUUAAGUCUGUGGCAAUGUGGCAUGCAAAGUUGGGCGCUACCAUAGCAAAUUGCUCUCGGGUCAAACCCUGACAAGUCACACACCCUCGAGCGAUAUAAGUAGCCACCUCAUAGACCCUCCUUCUAACAUGCUCCUGGCUCUGACUUAAAAAUUGGAUCUGUCGCCCAUGGUUAUUGGCUAUGUCUGAUAUAUCUGCCCUACGUUGUGACACCAGAUUCAGCUGGUUCUGGACCCUUGCUAGCUCAUUCUCUAGCUGGUUCUUACUUGAUUCUGCAGCCCUGGCCCGAGCCCUUAGAUCAUGGAUGAUAAGGUUGUAAUUCAUUUCUUUGUACUUUGGAAUGGCCGCUUGUUGCUGAGUAGCGGCUUCUAUUCUCGCUUGUCGAAGCUGUGCUUGAAGUGCUUGAACCUCAUGUAUUAAUCUGGUUUUCUCCUCUUUAAACUCAGUAUACUACAAAUCCCUAUUCACGUUGACGAUAUUGUAUCCCUACAUAAUUCGCGGAUGAUGGAUUCAUAGUCUCUUGUUAUUUCCUCCUUGGUCUGCCCCUACUCUUGUUCUGAUUUCAUUCGCGCAUUCUGUCGUGCUCUUCAGAAUUAUCUCUUGCCUAGAUCCAAAAGCAUCUUGGUCAUAGAACCACUCAAAAUAUGCGGGGUCUAACUCUCCUUGAUCUUGAUCUUCUAUCAUAGUGUAAAAUUCUAGCACCUUAAUUUCAUCUCAAACCUACUUAGCAUACGCCUCACGAAUAGGAUCCUCUGAUGUUACCUCCCAUAUGAAUCUUUGCAUGUGCUCCACUAUGGGCACGACUUGUUUUCGACCUAAUUGGCGUAAGGCUCUCAUAGGCACAUAUGGCUGAAAACCCAAAAGACCUAUCAAAAUAAAAAACAAAUGGUGGUAAGACCUGUAUAUGACCUCUUUUGGUGAGAAUAAGUGGUAUUUCCAUGUGAUUCCAGUAGCAGUCAACCUUUGAAGAUACCCUCUCCAUGCUUCGGCGCACUUGGGGAAGCUACUAUCUUCGAUAAAAACUUUAGACCUAUCUUCAAGCUCAUUAUUGCACCAAUGGACGCUAAUAUUUACCCGUACGGGGUGUAGGAAGGUGCUCUAAAGACCAUAUCUGGAGUAUGAUGUUACAACCCUCAGAGAAAUCUUUCCCUUCCUGACAUUUGGUUAGGGCACAGUAAAUAUCUGACAAUACCAUAGGAAUGAUAGUGACAUCCUUUCCACGCAAUAAAGCGGUAACUAUGCCAGAUAAUCGAAUAUCAAUAUUUUUGUCAUGCCUCGGGAAAACCAUUAUCCCUAGAAAUGCUAUUAGGAAUGCUCUCCGCCCAUGUCUUUGCCAAGCUUUGUAUCCAAAUUUAUUAUCAAGCUUUUUCCCGUUCUUUGAAAAUCUAUCCGGACACCCAUACCUGUCGUACAUGAAAUCUAAUCGAACGUACCCUCUUUCUACACUUGCUAUUUUAUUUUGGCUAAUUGUCAUCUGCUCAAGGUACUUACUUCCAGUGACAUCCCUCUGGGCCAAGGGUCUCUUCUUCCGAAGCUCAUCGCCUAACUUUGUAUAUCCAGCUAACUCCUCCAAAGUGGGAGUCAUUUCGAACCCAUUAAAAUGGAAUAUGUUGUUAUUAGGAUCCCAGAAAUGUACCAACACCUCGAUUAAGUCCCUCCUUGUGUUGAUCUCCAUGAUAUUCACAAAGUUACCCAGAUGGUCCUUUAUUUUUUUCCUGCUCACAAACACCCAUAUUUUUCCACUAUUGCCUCAGCAACCAGGGUGUUUUAUACAUAAGCCAAAUCUGCAAGGGCUCAUCAUCUUUUGGAUUUUUAUCGAGUAUUCCACUUACUGAAUUCAUAUCUUACCUAGAUAAAUAAAAAUGUGAGGUCAAGUCCUAAUAUAAACUCGAAGAAAUGACACCAAGCAGACUUUUGGAUAAGACAAUGAACGAACUUCUUAGUGGAGAAUUCCUCGUAUUGAAGGAUCAGUCAACUAAGACCCAACUGAUCAGACUUGAUUGAUAUGCCAGAAUUGGACGAAAAGGGCCAGACUCAAGGAUGACUAACCACGUAUCUCACGGGGAAACAAGACAUGAUAAAACGAGCCGACCGAGGACAAAAUGAUAAAAGGUGACAAAAGGGACAAGAUGGUUAUUCUUAUGAAAACGGUUCUUCAGUACUUCGAAGGGAAGUACUAUGGUUGUCUCGGUAAAAACAUCUGUACACAUGGAUAAGCGGGUAAAAGCAAACAAAAGUUAUUCUUUUACGAAAACAGCCAUUUGGUACUUCCAAAAAAAGUUUUAAGGUUGACUCGGCAAAGAUGGUCGGAAAUAAGGGCAACACGGCAAAAAUGUGAAAAUAAAUAAACAAAAUAAAUAUUUUGCAAAAAUAUCUCCUCGAUGCUUCCAAGGAAGGUUGUCGUGGCAAAUUAGCCGAAAUACGAGGGCAAAACAGUAAAAGAUGACCAAAAAUAGCAAUUGUUUUUGAAAAUUUUAUGCACAUGCGUAAUUUUUAUGCUUUUUUUUUUUUGAAAAAUGUGGGCUAAAUACGUAGAGGUUGCCUACGUAUCUCAUAUCCGGUGAGAAUCAAACCCGCGUAGUUCCGUCAAACUGAGUAUUUUUCUCUUUUGAUUUUUAUGAAAAUUAAUCUUUACACCUCACGCCAGACUACUACAAAAUCUUAGUAAAAAAAAUUAUUUGUACUAAACUAGGACAAUGAUUCUUUUUAUUUUUUAAUUAUUCCACUCGACUAAUUUUCUAAAGUCAUUCAGCAAUGCAAGUAAGCCUUCCAAAUGAUGUAACAAGUUGCACAUAAGUGCACAUGAUGGUCUCAAAGAGGACCUGUCUUAUACGAACCCGGCCCCUGUGCCGAGCUUCGCUAAGUCAAAUGCAUGUGAUGCAAAUAAUGCGAACCUACUAGGGCUAUUCGGCAUGAUGUUUGUGUAUCUAGGUUUAAAUCUUAUUGGAGAAGGUAUCUAGUCUGGCUUACUCGAGCGGACAACUCGAGCCGAGGAGGGUUAGCGUACCGGUAGCAGUGUUUCCGGCUUAGCUGGUGGUGCUCCCUGCCUAAAACAUGUGUGACUAAAAUCCUUCACCGGGUGACAAGCAUCUCUGCUAUCUCAAAGAAAGCGGGAUAUAUCAAGCAAAUACCCAAUUUUUAAUUUCAAGAAGACUUAGAGGGGGCGCGUGAGAAGACAAUUUAUAUGUACAAUUCAACAAUAUCAAAGUGGUAAAAAGCGAACACGUAGCACAUUAGGCACAAACAAAUCACAAUAUAUACAAGAAUUAAUAAAGCCAAAUAAAAAGUCAACAUGUACAAGCUCGAAUUCUGGUUGUCCCCAGCAGAGUCGCCAGAGCUGUCACACCCCUUUUCUACCCCUCAAAAGAAUAUGUGUUUGUUAUGAAUUAUUGUGGGUUAAAGAGUUUUUCCAAUUAAAGUGACAAUUUUGAAAUAGGGAUUAUUUAUUGUUCAGAGUCGCCACUUGGAAUUGAUUUUUGGGUAUUCCAAGUCACCUUUUAUUUGGAUCCCUAUUCAAAGGAAGAUUUGACUCUUUUAUUAUUGGUCUGCAAAAACACAGUCCGGGUAAGGAAUUCUGUUGACCGGAGAGAAGGUGUAAGGCAUUUCCCGAGUCCCGUGGUACUAGCACGGUCGCUUUUAUUGAUUAAAAUUGGCUUGAAUUAAUUGCUGGAUAAACUAUGCUUUAUUUGACUUUUCAUGUCUGCCUAUAUCCGCUUUUAUUUCUUGAUUAAUAGAAUUAUUUUAAAAAAAUUGGAUAAAUUACGUUGUCAUAACCACGCUACGCAAGCGAAUGCGUGAUCGAACAACACAAUUAAUUAACUUAUCAUAAUUGUGUCUCGCAAGAGAAUCCGAAAUCAUGACAGUCAAUUAUUUGUAGUACUUUUGACAAAUUACUACAUUUGAGAAAAUUAAUUCUUGAAAUUAUUAAAAGUCAACUACCGCGCUACGCAAGCGAAUUCGGGAUAUUAGCAAAAGAUUAUUUAAAUUAAAAAUUAACUAAAAACUAAUGUGUUUGAGAUUAUUGAAUUAAUUUAUUGAAUAUUGAACAUCACGUUACGCAAUCGAUUCCGUGAAUAAAAAGAUUAAAGCAUGCCUACUAAUUGCCUAGUUCUUAAACUAAUUAAAUUAUUAAGUUAAUUAGUAAAAAAAGACUAAUUUCUUUUUUGGAUUAUAUAUUAUAUAUGAAAAAAAUAUGGAAAAUUAGUGAUGGGCCAGCUCACUUAUAUUGAAAAUGUUGGCCAUUUUUGGCUGUCAUGAGUAUUAAGCCCAAUUUAUGUAGCCACUUGGGCUGCUGGCCCCUUUUGAAAUUAAGUGACCAUUGGGCCAAUUGUUGGUUAUUGUAGAGAAUGGACUAACUUAUGCCAAAUUGUUUUCUAUCUCUCACGGCCCAAUCUUCCUUUGUUAAGCUUAAAUGGAACCAACUGAAUAUAUCUCCAUACUUAAACUUAACAUUUAUCGUGCUAAUUAAAUAAAAUGACCUAAACAUACAACUAUGAUAUUAACUUAAAGUGAAGAUGUCAACCUGGGCAUAAAAUUAUUCAAGCUUCAAAAUCAGAAUAUAGAAGACCAAAACUCCUACAUCAAUUAUUUAGCUAAUCAAGCAAGACAAGGAGUUAAACUACUCAUCAUUUUAGAGUUGAAAGGCUAAAACAGAGAAAUGUAUUCAAUAAGGACAUGACUUGAAUCUUACCGAGCCAUUAAACUAAUUAAGAUAGUAAACUAAUUUUUAUUAAUCCAUUUGGAUGAAGAUGUAAACGAGAAAACUAAAUAUAGUAUUCCAUUUGAGCCUACCACAAGAAUAAAUUUGGAAAAAACAUCAAGAUAGUAUAAAAUGGACCUUAAACAAAAUCUAUUUUUUAAUGUGUAAGGAACUGGAACCUUCAACAUCUAUUUUUAUGCUUGACAUUUAAACACAAGACUAACGAGAGCAGAAAGUUUUUAAGGUAUAAGGAAGUAAAUAAAACUCAAAUAACUUUAACUCAAAUCAUCUAAUCUUCAUUCAUUAUCGUGUCAAGAAUUACAUCAUUGGUUGAGGGAGUUACAUGGAUAGCAGAUAAAUGAACAAACACAGCGAAGUCAGUUUUUCCCAAAGUCAAGAAGUGGACAGCAGAACAACCCCAGGCAGCAAAGAACAGCAGUAACAGAACUCAAGAAGACCCCAGAGAAUCCCAACACGAAAGCACUUGAACUAGAAACUAGUAACCUGUCCCUUUUACCAACUAUGAACAGAAUUUUGGAGUAUUGUACUUUAACAGUUUUUGAACAGUAAAAGGCAGCCAAACAAGCACCAUAAACUCAAGUAUUCAGCUUUUAUCAUAACUGAAAUUCAAGCUAACACACUCAUACCUUCAAACUAACCAAAUUAUGGAUUGAUACAGCAGAAACAAGACUUAAAAGAUAACCGAACUAAGUAUUCAACAAACUAGAUAGAAAUUAAUUUGAUUUGUACAAACUAACAUGAAGCGAUUGAGAUAAAAAACUAACAUGCAAAACAGAAACUAAACGAGGAUGGCUAAACUAUCACACAUGAUUAAUAACAACUUAACAAACGACUAACUAAAUAAAUGAUUCAACUAAUCUUUUGAUUUUUCAUAAAAGUAGCAUAAAACACUUAACUACCGACCGACUAGGUCGGAAAACUGAAAAUCCAAACUUAACAAAUUCACACAAAAUAGUCGACCGGCUAGGUCGAAGAGCCAAAAAUCAGAACUAACAGACAGUAACGAACUACUUGACCGGCUAGGUCGAAGAACUGAAAUUCACAUUUAUAAAGUAACAUGUAAUUGAAAACUAAUACUACCCUAACUCAAUUGCACACAAAUAAAAAUAACAAGAAUAGAAAUUAGACCUUAACACUAAUACUAAUUACAAAAGCAAAAAGAAAAAAUCAGAAAAGAUGAAAAGGAAGUAAGGUUUAUACCAAUCGAGGGCAUAUGAAAUUGUCCAUAAAUUUCGGGGAUGACACGAGCAGUGACAAAUGAUGACGAGCGACCUUUGAACAAACUUUUCUAAGCGGAAGACAUUAGGGUCACCGAUUCAUGGGAGCCGACUAAUGAUUUCAACACCAUAUCGCCUAGAAAGGGUCGUUACCAGGUCAUGUCUAGGAAAAACAUAGCGACUUAGGCACUUGGUGGUGGUGAGACGGCAGUGGGGGCUGCUGGACAGAAUUCAACCGAAUUUCGGCCGGAUUUUGGAGGGGUUUGAAGGUUUUGAGGCAUGAAAUGGAGAAGAGGAGAGCGAGAGGAGGCCGGCGGUGUGAAAUUUUUGGAGUUUGGGGUGGUGAGCGGCUGCUAGGGUUUCGGUUAGGCUUAGAUUUAUGGAGAUUGAGAGGGGUUAUGGGGAUUUGUGGUUCGGAUUCAUGAAGAGGAGGAGGAGGAGAGGAAGAGAUUGGCGUUGGUUGGAGGGUGUUUGGCCACCGGAGGACGGCGGCGCUGCCGUCGGGGACGGGCAGCGGCGGCGGAGGAAGAAGAAGAGAGGAGAAGGGGUCUAGGGCUUGGGCAUG
rnacentral:lncRNA from 1 species